rnacentral:lncRNA from 1 species
UGCACAACAGUUAUGCUAUCCUUACAGGUAAUCCCCUUCUGUUACUGUUUAGACAAUAAUUCCGCUCCUCUCUCAAGAUUUACUUACGGUCAUGUGCCCCGAAAUGCUCAGAUGGGCACAACCAUCACCAAGGGUGGGAUGGGAGAGCAGAGGGGAAAUAAAAUAUGAAGCAUCAGUUAAAAAUAAUAAUACUAAUAAUUUGAAAAAUGUUUAAUGAAGACAUAACUUUGUAGAAAAAGGCACACCUAAAGAAGGUUAUUCAAGACAAAAUUAAGAAUAUAUUUGCUAAUAUAUGCUUUGAAUUAAUUUUUGAUGUUUCUUAUGUAUAUAUUUAAAAAGCAAACGUAUGAAUUUUAAUCAUUUUUUAUUCAUAGGAAAUGUAUAGGGGUUCAUAAAUGUUGUCAGUAUACUUCUCUGACCUUAUAUAUUCAGUUUUGUCCCCUUGUUUACAAUCUGACUGAGCUGUAAAGGUGUAACCAUUAACCAAUCAAAGUGAACAUUAAAAGGUCAGUGCAUUACAUAUUUUAGCUGCUUCCCAAAAAAAUGGGUAAGACAUUCAAAUUUUGGCGUAUUUUUGCAAGUCCAAACUUGUAAAAUAAAUCUGUGAUUACAUAAAUGAGACUCUGGCUCCCUGUAAAAUUUGUAAAAAACAUGAGAAGGAAGUUCAAUUCCCUGUCUUUCCCUUUUUAUUAUAUUUUAAAGUCAGUCUCCAAAAUUCCAGUAAGUUGAUAUAGGAAGUACUCCAGUUAUCAAUGUCAUAACAACCUUAUAAAUAUUUUCCAGGCUGCAAGUUUCAAAAUAAGAACUUCCUUCCUAUUUACAAAUUAGCACAUGGACAUACUUUGGAAUUGUUUGUGGGUAUCAAAUAACUUUUUAUUUUUGCAAAUAUUUGUAUCAAUAACUUCUUUCCUGCCUCAGCCUCCCAAAGUAACUGGAAUUACAGGUGCCCACCACCAAAACCAAAGAGUGUUUAUUUAUUUUUUAUUUUUUUUUAUGUAGAGACAGGGUUUCUACAUGUUGACCAGGCUGGUCUCAAACUCCUGACCUCAGGUGAUCCCACCUUUCUCGGUCUCCCAAAGUGCUAGGAUUACAAGCAUGAGCCACCCCACCCAGCCAGUGUCAAUAACUUCUAUCAUGACAAUUAUCCAUUUUGGCCAUCAGUUAUUUGUAAAUAAGUGAUAAGACAUUUUGCCCUCAUAUCUGUUUGUGAUCAAAGGAAAACCAGUACCAAAGAAUAUUUAUUUUCUGCAUGAUCAAUGUGAUUGGAACAUAUAUAGUGUCUAUAUUCUUUGUUAUUACUGUGAAAAAUAAUAAGCAAAUAAUUUGUGUUUUAAAUCAUUUGUAAAAAUUUUUUUUGUUGCCAAUAUAUUUUAACCAUUCUGAAGAGAAGGCUAAAAAAGAUUUUUGCGUUUUUUUUUGAGAUUGAGUCUCGCUCUGUCACCCAGGAUGGAGUGCAGUGGCGCGAUCUUGGAUCACUGCAAGCUCUGCCUCCCGGGUUCACGCCAUUCUCCUGCCUCAGCCUCCCGAGUAGCUGGGACUACAGGUGCCCGCUGCCACGCUAAUUUUUUUAUAUUUUUAGUAGAGGCGGGGUUUCACUGUGUUAGCCAGGAUGGUCUCGAUCUCCUGACCUCAUGAUCCACCCUCCUUGGCCUCCCAAAGCGCUGGGCUUACAGGAAUUAGCCACCGUGCCCGGCCAGGUUUUUGCCUUUGUAAGAACGAAUGUAAGGAAUAAAAUUAGAUGGCUAAAAAUGGGGGAUUGGGGAGGGGAAGACUGGCCUAUUGAUUAGGAGAAGGCCAGGAGUAAAGUCUGCCAGUAACAUUAAAGAUAUGAAACCAUAACCUUUGUUAUACAAUUUUAUCCAUUGCAUAACAGCAAUGGAUGCUGUUUCUGUGCUGAAUGGAAGGUGAGGUCAUAGCAAGAAAGCUGCCUACAAGGCCUCAUUUACAGGGAAGUUUUGAGAAGCUGGAGAAAAUCUGAGAAAAAGCAUAUAUGAUGGUUGGAAUUAAACCAUCUACAGAAAGUAUGUUCUAAUGUGUUAGGAUAAGCACCUAAUUAAGCACCAGCAGGCUGAAGCAAGCAGAGGCAUCAUUGGAGCUAUGUGUUCACACCGUGCUGUGACUGAGAAGAAGUUGAAGGCGGUAUCUCUUCAGAAGUUUCAGGCAUCCGGGCAUUUGAGAGGCCAAGAAGUCUGUGGCUGCUAAAAGCAAAAGGGCCAGCAGAUUUAAAUAAAUAAAUAAAUAAAUAAAAAUAAAAAACGUUGAUUUUUAAAAUCUAGAAAAUGUCACUGCGAGCGCAAGGUAAAUUGUCACUGCAAAGAUAAAAGGCACCCUCAUUUCCUAAGCUUCCUGUUCUCCACAUACAAUUUAUUUUUUAAGAUUUCUGGGCAAAAGUAAUUACUGCUUGAUCUGCAUUGAAAACUAUUUUAAUUGCUAUAUUUCAGUAUAGCAUGUGACAUGUGGAACAUUGCUGCUAUCACUGGGCGAAUGUCAGAGUCCGUAGAUGUGUGAUUUGUUGCAAGUUACUUCUAGCAAAGGCUGAACUGAAGUUUCUUUCUUCUCUGACCUUGAUUAUGAUAAUUGAAUGAGAAUAAAUCUCUGGAAGAGAAAAGAAAAGAAAGCCGCUCUGAGCGUACCCACCUUUCUACUCUGGAGAGAAGCUCUUUUGACACAGAUCCUGCCCCGUUUAAUAGACUCCAGCUGCUGGCACUGCCUUCUGAGUUCUUUCACUUCCGAAUUCUUAUCGUCCUGCAGCCCCACCACAGUCAAUGACUAAGUUCCUCUGGACUUUCACAUGGAUCGUAAUAGACAACUUCAUCCUGUUUUUCUAAAAAGGUAUUAAUGAUUGUUUAAAACAUAUUUUAUUAUUUGUAAAAAUACAUUGAAUUUUUUUAAAUGUAAGGAAAAUAAAGAUCACUUGUAAUCCCACCACUGAGAAUCACUAUUAACAUAUAAAAAAUCUGUGUAUAAAUGUAAUAUACAUAUACACAUGUGUAUAUAUACAUGACUAUACACAUGUAUGUAAGUAGCAUGUGUGUAUAUACAUGUAAGUAGUAUAUGCAUGUAUAUAUACCUGUAUAGACAUAUGUAUAUAUACACAUGCACACACACACACAUACUACUUACAUAGCUACACGUAUCAAUGGAGUUCUAAAAGAACACUUUCCAUGGGAUGGAAAUAAAUUUUUAGGCCAGGUGCGGUGGCUCACGCCUGUAAUCCCAG